rnacentral:rRNA from 1 species
UUCCUUUUGUANUUUGAUAAAAGGUAAGGUCNGCCCUAUGAUAGUAUUAAAUGGCCGCAGUAUAUUGACUGUGCGAAGGUAGCAUAAUCAUUUGUCUUUUAAUUGGAGUCUAGUAUGAAUGAUUUAAUGUGAGGAAGACUGUUUCUAUUAAAAUUCUGAAUUUUCAAGUUAGGUGAAGAUGCUUAAAUAUCUUUAAAAGACGAGAAGACCCCAUCAAGUUUUAUAAUAUAUUUUAUUAUUAGGUAAAAUUUGUUACAUUUAUUAUUUUAUUGGGGCAAUAGUUAAAUAUAAAAAACUUUAAUUUAUUAAUAAUGUCAGUGUAUAAAUAUUUUUAUGAUCCAUAUAUUUGAUUAUAAGAUUAAAUUACUGUGGGGAUAACAGCGUUAUUUCUUUUAAGAGUUCUUAUCUAUGAAGAAGAUUGCGACCUCGAUGUUGNAUUAAGAUNNCUUAUNNNNCGCAGGGGUUAAAUAAAGUAGUCUG